rnacentral:misc_RNA from 1 species
GAGAAAUAUAUUAUUCUUGGUUAUAUUCCUUUAUGCAAUGAAUUAUAUCAUAAGAAUACUGUUUGUGUAAUUGCAUGUUGUUUUUCCCUGGGUAAGGUUAGAAGGUGCUGUCUCCAAAUUCCAUUUAACUCUAUUCCACUAUGGUGAAUAUUUGGGAAGUUUUUUCCCCCUCUUUAUGUUUUAACAUUAUGUAAAGAUCUAUGUUCUGGAACAAUGGCUUCUAG